GGCUAACGUGGCGGCGGAUGCGCUAAGUAGAAAAUCGACGGAAAACUUAGCGAUGCUUAUGGUUACUCAACCGCCGUUGAUCGAGCAGAUGAAGCGGUUGGAGUUGGAGGUGGUAGCUCCUGAUACACCUUUGAGGUUGAUGACUUUGGUGGUGCAACCUACACUUAUGGAAAGGAUUAAAGAAAAGGAAGCUUCCGACUUGGAGUUGCAAAAGAUUCGAGCUAAGAUGGUUGAUGGUUGCACGGGUGACUUCACUUUGGACGGUGAUGGAUUGAUGCGUUUUCGCGGACGGCUAUGUGUACCGGUAGACUUGGGCAUUAAGGAGGAUAUUCUUCAAGAAACACACCGAGCACCGUAUGCUAUACAUCCCGGAGGCACCAAGAUGUACAAGGACUUGAAGUUGCUUUACUGGUGGCCCGGGAUGAAAAAGGAUGUUGGUGAGUUUGUUGCUAGAUGUUUAACUUGCCAACAGGUGAAGGCCGAGCACCGAGUUCCUGCGGGAAAAUUGCAGAGCCUACCGAUUCCUGUGUGGAAAUGGAAAAAGAUCACCAUGGACUUUGUGGUGGGAUUGCCUCGCUCACAGGCCGGGCAUGACGCUAUUUGGGUGAUUGUGGAUAGAUUGACGAAAUCGGCACAUUUCAUACCUAUCCACACUACUUGGACUGGUGAGAGACUCGCACAGGUAUACUUGGAUGAGAUUGUGCGAUUGCACGGGGUACCUACUUCUAUCGUUUCAGAUCGAGAUCCCCGUUUUGUAUCCCACUUUUGGAGGAGCUUACAGGACGCUCUGGGUACGCGUUUGGACUUCAGUACAGCUUUCCACCCUCAGAGUGACGGGCAGUCGGAGCGUACUAUACAGACUCUCGAGGACAUGCUUCGAGCCUGCGUGAUUGACUUCCAGGGAGGAUGGUCGCAGCAUCUACCGAUGGCAGAGUUUGCUUAUAACAACAGUUAUCAAGCAAGCAUCAAGAUGGCACCGUUCGAGGCACUCUGUGGACGGAAGUGCAGAUCGCCACUUCAUUGGAGUGAAGUUGGCAAGAGAUUGGCUUUAGGCCCUGAUGUGCUCCAGGAAGUAGAGGACAAGGUUCGCAUUCCUAGGAAGCGACUGUUGACAGCCCAGAGUAGGCAGAGGAGUUACGCUGACCGGCGUCGACGAGACUUGGAGUUUCAGAUUGGAGACCAUGUGUUCUUGAAAGUCUCGCCGACCAAAGAAAUUAGAAGAUUUGGAAUCCGGGGUAAAUUGAGCCCCCGAUACAUCGGACCGUAUGAGGUUUUAGAGCGUGUAGGCCCGGUAGAGUAUAGACUCGCCCUACCGCCAAACCUAUGGGGUGUACACAACGUGUUCCAUAUAUCGGUCCUUCGGAAGUACAUCCAUGAUUCGGCUCACAUGUUGGACACUACGCCCGUGGAGCUGCGGGAUGACUUGAGCUUUGAGGAGCAACCUUUAAGGAUUUUGGCUCGCGAGGUGAAAAGAUUGCGGAACCGGAAAAUCCCCUACGUAAAGGUGCUUUGGAGCAACCACGACGAGCGCGAGGCCACUUUGGAGCUGGAGAGCGCACUGAGGGAGCGCUAUCCCCAUCAUUUUCAGAUGGAGGCUUGAGAUACUUGUCAUUUCGAGUUUCACGGACGAAACUCCUUUUUAGGAGGGGUGAAUGUAGCACACUGGACCUUUGCAAAUUGCGAGGUUUGAGUGUUUGGACUGUGUCCUGAGCUUUUCCAGACUUUCUGGUAGGUCGUAGACAGUGCUUCGACCUAUGGCUCGCAUCCCGAGAAGUGAGGUUUAAAGCCUAGCACAAAAACUCGAAAAAUUGAAUUUUUGGUCAGCCCUCGGGUAGCCUUCAGCAGGUCUUGUACCGGUACAAGGCUGAUGGUUGUACCGGUACAAGGCUGGUGGUUGUACCGGUACAAGAGGCUUGUAUCGGUACAGAGCCGCAGAACUCGCCAACCCGAGCCUCGGGUUGUGAUUUUCGUAGGGCUUGUACCGAUACAGGGGCCCGUGUACCGGUACAAGGUGGCAGAAUCUGAAUGUUUGAUUCUGUAGGGGUGUUUUUGCAUUGUUGCCUUCUUAUAUCAGCACCCACGCCCCUAGGGCUCUCCCCUGAGUUGAGAGGAGAGGAGAACCAAGUAAGGGAGCUCCCCACACCAUCUCUUUGGAUUUGAUCUCUAUUUUGUAUGGGUUUUGAUGGAUUUUUCCUCUCUUUUGCCCUUUGGUGCCAUUUCCACCAUGGAUAAAGCUUGAGCUUGGAUUUGAAGCUUGGUUGAGGGAAGAUCUUGAUUGAUAGAGGACUUAGAACCUUGAUUGAGGUUUCUAAGAGAUUCGUAGCUCAUUCUCUUCCUCUAGAUUUGAAUUUUGUUGCUUUUUGAUAGUUUGAACCCUAGAAUGUGAAUUUAGGGUUUAUUUUGGGCAUUUUGAUUCUAGGGCUUCUGGGGCUAAAUUAUUUAGAUUAGAGCACUCCUUUGGGUUGGGUUGGAGUGAUCUUAGCCUUCUUUUGGAGCUUGUGAGAGUUUUUCUCCACCCUAGGUGAAAUUUUAGCCCUUUUGCCUUGUUGGUUAAUGUUUGAUCUUAUAGUUGAUCGUAAUGCCCGUGUAUCUCUUCGCUCAAUACUUUUAGGAUAUUUUGAGACUCGUGGAUAACUCCGUUAGCGAAUCGAAGGAGCACGCGACGGUUCGGUGGGUUUGACCUAGCCACACAAUGAGAAAAUCUCAUUUGUGAUGUUUUAAGUACCGUUAAAUGAAAAAGCAUGCAUAUUCAUGUUAGAUGCAUUUAUUAUAAAUUUUAGAAUGCUUAAUAUGCAUAUGUUAUGUAUAGUAAAUUUUUGGACCCCUAUGUGGUAGGGUGCAUGCAUGUGGGAUAUAGCAUUAUAGUCGAGACUUGGAACUAUGAUUCCUAUUAUGAAAAUGAACAUUACUUUCAUGCAUUUAAUUUUUAUACCCAAUUGUGACAUUAAAGACUUUGGAAGACUAGAGAGGCUUGGGGACUUAGGCUUUUCGAAAUUUUGGGCCAAUGUCAUAAAGAGGCAUUGGGCCCCGGGCUAUAGUGAACAUUGGUAUUAAUGUCGUAUUCGGAACAUAGAACAUGAAUUGAGCUUGAUUGGUUGUGAAGCUUAAGUGUCAUAAAGAGGCACUAAGCAAGUGAGAGUUGAGCUAUCACAUUGUGACAUAGAUCUAGACCGUUCGGUUACUAGUAGCUUUUGCUAUGUUUGAGACAUGAGGGUUGGAUACUUGAGCCUUGACUACGCUUGUUUGCCAUUUGUGCUCAUUCGCACAUGCUUGUGAGGGUCGCUCCCUACAAGCCGGCACUCCGGAGUUAGCCUACGCGACCUAUGUUCGCUCGUGCAGUAUUGAGAAGCCUAUCGGGCCGAGUGGGACAGACAUAUUCCAAGAGUAGGAAUGUCGGGCUACCACAGGCACUUAGGCGGCACAAGCUGGACUACCUUGAGUAGGUCCUUAAUUGGAAAUGGAAAUCGACACGGUGUUGUGUGUGUAUAAUCACUACUAGAUAGAGGGUAGUAGUUGGAUUACUUAGACUUGCUUCUAGCAUAGUUUUGGACACAUAAGUAUGCAUACAUACAUGUAGUAUGCUAGGAGAUUUUGCUUAUUGCAUCCAUUUAUACAUUGUUGCCAUAUUAAAGCAUGAUUUUUAUAACUUCAUAAAGUAGGCCGUGACAUUUACCUGUGGCCAUGUUGGGACAUAUUACUUAUGCAUUGAACAUUCUUCAUUAUGAAAGAGUAAAGGUAAAACAUUGACAUCGUAAUGUUUCUGGUAUAGUAAGCUUAGUAAACAUGCAUACUUUCAUACCGCAGUUAUCAUUAUUAUUAUUGUUGUUGUUUACUGUACUUAUUCUUUUCUGUUGGGGCCUGGUGGUGCAUUGAGCUGAGGUCAGUAAUUGCCCACUAGGAACUAUAAAUUAUAGUUCUCACGCCCUCUGUUUUAUUAUUUCUUUCAGAGCCUUCCACGCCGGGUGAGGCCACGGACCGAGGGAAGGGCAUUGCUUCCAGCUAGCUCUUCAGUGAGGGACGAGUUGUUAGGUGGUCUACCUCUCGAUGUAUUUUAUUUUGGAGAGGUUGAGAGUUGCUCUAGUGUAUUAGAGACCACCCCUUUUGUGUACUUUUUUUGGAGAUGUUAUUGUACUACCUAUGCUUCACUUUUAUUGUUUAGUAUUAUUUCCAUUUACUUUGUUAUAGAUGAUAGAAUCAUACUUGCUCUGAUAUCUCUAGUUAUAGGUUGUUUCUCGCUUUUACUUCCGCUGUUGUUGUAGACGCCUUAUAUGUGCAGACAUAUGGCGGGUCUGUGCACGCUAUCGGGAGGGCCUCCGCCAGUCCCGGGGCGUGACACAGAUGAUGCUCCAUGCUGAAUUUGCAAUAUAUUUUAUAUUAUUUCAUGCUUCAUUUUUGAGGCACCCUAUUAUGUGAAGGAUUAUAUGUGGAUUUAUAUUUAUAUAUAAUAUAUGUUAUAUUACUUUCUGCUUAAAUUUAUGCUAAUCUAAUUAACCGCCGCGAAGCGCGGGUUUUCACUAGUUUAUAUUAAAAAGAGAAGGAUACACAAUGACAUCAAAAGAUGGUUGAUAGGAAAUUUCUCUUUAUAGCUUGAUGUUUCCUUUUUUUUUAAAAUGGACUUAUGCUGAUUUUUUUUUUUUUUUUUUCAAUGGACAAUCAAUCUUGUCAUGCUUUGACUGUACAAUACAUAAAUUCAUAACAAAUGGGUUAAUGUUUAGGAUUGAUAUUCUAAACAAACUAAAUACAUGUAGAAAUUAAAAAUCAUAUAUAUAUAAAAGUAUUAUUUAUUGCAAAGAUAUUCUAAAAGAGACUAAAUACAUAUAUACAAUUUAUUUUGCAAACAAAUCAUAUAUAUCAUAUAUAAAAGUAUUAUGAUUAACAGCACUGGAAAAGAAAAAUUUCAUCUAAUAAAUGUUGAAAUUUUUUUUCUAAAUUACUAACCAAAUAAGAUUAUAUCAUAUAUAAUCAUUACGAUCAGGACUGGGGAAAGAAAUAUAUUUCUAAAUUUUUUGCAGCAACAAACUGGAAGGCGAAAAAAAAUAGUAUAUACAUAAAAAUUAAACCAAAGAACUUACAAAUUAUAAGACAAUCACUCGCAGAUCAAGCGUACAUCGACAGUCAAUUUCCUGAAACAAAAUAAACUUAUUCAGUUAUUUUUAAGAAAGUAAUAAGAAGUCAAAUUGAAUUUCAAAAAAAAAAAAGCUUGAAAUCAAAUCAGAGACGAAAAAAAUCACCAGAAGAGAAAUAGAGUUUUUUUGCUGCAAAUAAAAUUUUUUCGGAGGCAUAUUAUAUAGGCAGCAAGAAAGGAGUACGGAGAAUGAAUCCGAAACAUUUUCGUGAUUGGAGAGGAUGAAUAAGCUGAAAUGAAGCGUCGCUAACGGGAACGACGCGACGGGAAGAAGGGUCGACCAUGAACUCAGCCCAAUAUUCCGUCCAGAGAGGGAACAAGAGUCGGAGCGCCAUCUAGGGUGGCGAGUGACAUCGGUUGUUAGACGAACUUGUUCGUUGAACCAAUUAAAUGGGAAUCGGUUGAAGCAACUAAAUGGGAAGGAGAUAACUGUCGAGAACGAAGAACGACAACGAACUCGGCCCAAUUUUUCGUCCAGGUGGGCACAUCAGGAGCCGGAGCGGCAUCUAGAGGGGCAAGCGAAGGAGUCGAAGCGGCAUCUAGAGGGGUGGGCAACAUCAGAUGGAUUAGAAGCAGCUAAAGAAAUUAAAUGGGAAGUAGAGAGGGGCGAGCGAAAGAGCCAGAGCGGAAUCUAGAGGGGCGAGUAACAUCGGGUGGAUUAGAAGCAGUUAAAGAAAUUAAAUGGGAAGCAGAGUAAGGAAAAAAAAAAUUUUGUUUGGUGGGCCCCACCCACUAAUCAAAAAUUAAAUAGAAUAGUUUAAGAUGACAGGUAGGCCCCAUUAAGUUAAGCUAAUAUUGCCACGUGGACAAAAGGAAACGGACUUUCAUAAGGGUUUAUAGAUAUAUGUAUAUGCUAUCUUUAUCAUCUGUCAUAUGUGGCAGUGUGAGAAUUAUUUAUUUUUUGUUACAUUUUUUUGGGCAAGUUAAAAUUAGUAUUUUUUUGUUAGUGAAUAUUUGCGCCACUUUAUAUUUUCUUUGGUGAGGAAAAACUUCUCUUUUCCAAUAUCUUACAGGAUUGUUUAAACUUUAUUUUUUAAAAAACAAUAUAUAUAUGUAUUAUGCUAUUUAGUAGUUUGUUUUAAUAUAUGAGGUAUUUUUAGGCUCCUCUGUUCUAGAAAUGGAUUGUUUAUCUUUUCUUUGAAUUUAUUUGAAUGUUUUUUUUUGUGGGGCUGUGAUGAUAGCAUAGCUCAGAUAAACGCGACAUUUGUCGCAGUUGUAAAAAAUCGUUGCUAUUUUAAGCUCUAUAGGGUGACAUUUAGUCGCAGUCGUAAAAAUUGUGGCUAAUUUAUUCGAAUCUGUAUAUGAGGUUGGCAAUAUUCGGAUGGCUUGCUUGACAAGCAACCCGUUGCUGUCAAAAUAUCCUGUGAUGUGUUAACAAAUCUGAGCAAAAUCUGAGCCAAAUAAUUUGCUUCUGAUAUCUACUGAUUUUUUGAGAUUUGCUUUUCUUGCUAGUAUCCUAUUUUACUACUACUUUUAGGGGCUGUUUGGUUAGAUGUAAUUAUAAAUACAGUGUAGUUAGAGAUGCAUGCAGUUGAAAAUACAGCAGUUAUAACUAUAUGAAUCUUGUUUGGUUGGAUGUAGUAGAAAGCGCUACAAGUAUAAAUAAUUUGUUUGGUUACAUGCAGUUGAGAAAUAAUUUUUAAAAUUUUAUUAUUUUAUAUAUAUGAUGGUGAAAUUACCUCCAAUGUAAAAAAUAAUAAUAAUUUUUGUUUAAAAAAUAUUGAGGAGGUAAGCAUACUUUUUAUUUAAAAUUACUCUCUCCAACUGUUGUAGUUGGAACUGCGGCCAAUUUGGGCGUAAUUUGAACUGCUACAGUUGGGCCUCUUCCUACAGUUUCUACUGCAGCAAUUGGAGUUAAAUACAUCAAACCAAGCACGAAAUUUGUAUUUACAUGCAGUUACAACUGCAGUGCAGUUGCAACUACAUGCAACCAAAUGGCCCUUAGUGUUGAAAAAAUCAGUAUUUUUGCAUUGCUUUUGAAAACAUAUAGAAAUUGCAUUGAAAUUUUGUAUCCUCCUUAUAGUUCUAAAUACGCCCAAUUAUCUGCCUGCAGUUGCUGUAUGUAAAGAAAUGCAGUUGUUUGGUGCCUUUUUAGAUUUUUGUUUUGUACGACAUUCGAUUAUUUGUGGAAGGCCUGGGUCCCUAUUUUAAGCUUUACCUUAGAUAGGGCGACACUUCGUCGUAGUUGAAAAAUCGUGGCUGAUUUGUUUGGAUCUGUAUCUGAGCUUGGCAAUAUUCGAAUGACUUGCUUGACAAGCAACCAGUUACCGCCGGAAUAACCUAUGAUGUGUUAACAAAUAUGAGUCAAAUCUGAGCCAAAUAAUUUGUUUCUUAUAUCUGUUGAUUUUUUGAGAUUUGCUUUUCUUGAUAGUAUUCCUAUUUUUCUAAUAAAUGAGAGAUGAAAUAUUUUUGAUUUUGCAAUGACUAAAAAAUUGCUAAUCUGUUAUUAUCGUUAUUAUUAUUAUUAAUAAUUCUGAAAUUGACUUCGAUGUUUCUAUUUUUAUCUUGUAUAAAUUUUUAUUAGAAAGCCCUGCUUAAAUAAAUUUAGUUAAUUUUCAGAAAAAAUUAAUAAAACUUUUAUUUCUACUCAGUUUUAUAAUUUUGUUUUGCAAGAGCUAAAAUUAUACCCAGUGCUUGCACGGGUUACUAUCCUAGGUUAGUUUUAUAAUAGGACGAGCACGAACACUAGCCGUCUCGCUUUGUGCGCCGUCUCAAUUCGGAGCCCUAGCGCCAUCUCAAUUCGGCCGCAGGGAAGUCAUCUCGGGACAGAAGAAAACGGGCGAGAGAAAGAGAGAGAGAGAGAGAGAGAGAGAUUGGGAAACAUUUCCGAUCGGCGAGAAAGGAAAGGAUGGUGCGGGUGGCGACGUACUUCGCGAUGACCUUCGGUGCCUUCCUCUUCUGGCAGUCCAUGGACAGGCUCCACGUCUGGAUCGCCCUCCACCAGGACGAGAAGGUACUUCUCCCUCCCCCUCCCGCUCCCCCUCACCCUCACCCCCCCUCUCUCUCGCUUUUCUCUUUAUGUCCAAUUUCUCUCUUUCUUUGUUCCGGGCCUCGAUUUCUCCUCUCUCACUUUGGAUUGAUCGCGCUGGUUCUAGUCCUUUCUUGCACACGAUUUGCUGCUGAAUGAUGAUGAUGGUAUAUGCUGCAUUAUGCCUCUUGGCUCCAAAUAGGGUUUCCCGUUUCUUGGAAUCUAAGGAAAACCAAUCAUUCUAGGAAAUUUUUCGCUGUAACAUAACUAUUUUCUCACAAUAACGGUCGCCUUUUCUAGAAAUGUAAGGAACAUAACUAUUUGCUCGCAAUAAAAGUUCGCCUAUUCUAGAAAUCUAAGGGGGAAAAAAAGGGAAAACACUAAUGUUUCUACUGGGUUAGGGAUCAGGUUAGCAGAAGGCAGUAGUUGAUGAUUUAGUGAUUGAAAUGUUUCUUCUCAUCUUCUACCACAAAUCUAUAUGAAGUUCUUUUUUUUUGAGACAUGUAUGAAGCAUGUAGAUAGCCCAUAUUGUAUUUGUUUAGUUGAAGAUCUGAAUGGAUAAUCAGAAACUUCAAGCAUGGAAGAAGCAGAUGUUGGAAGGACUAACAUGCCCUUUUGUAUUAGGUUUCUGUUAGUUCAUUGGCACUACUUGUUCAAGAAUUGAAUUUUGCUUCUUUGCUUUGUUUGGCCGCGAUCCCUAUCUGUGCAGAAACACGAGAACCAUCUAGCGUAACUCACAAUACAUGUAUACUUUAGAUUCGGUGUAAAACUUAAUUUGUUUGCAAGAACAUACUUGAUGAACGUCUCUUCCAACUCUGGCAAUUCCUUUUCUUAGAACUUGCACCUUUUGUUGUUACUACCUAAGUGGACGUGCAAUGCACGUCAUACACAUCUAAAAAAAACACAAAUAGUUUUAUAAUAUCUUUAACUUUAAAUGUUGUUUUAAAUUCAUACUUUCUAAUAGUAUGCUGUCCAAAUGUCAUAAAAUAUAUUAAUAAAUUAAAAUUAAAAUUUGAUAUUAAGAUUUUAGAAUAAAAUUGUUGAUUUGUGGAGUAUGGUGCAUUGGAUUCAUGUAACAAAAAGGAGGAAUGGAAAUGAGGGGAGGCGAAGCGACGGAUACAGAAAGUGAGGGAGAGAAAGAAUUAGCACACAAAUUUUUCUACUGACAAAAAAUUGAAAAUUGUGAGUUUCUGUAAUCAAGGAAUAUUUAUUCGCCAGUAAUAUUUUAGGUUUAUUAGGCUUAUAAGGAUAUUUUAGGAAUGUAAAUCGACAGAUACUUUAUUUGUCAUUCAUUAGAUUAGAUGCAAUGGUUGAAAAUUAAUUCAUUAAAAUUAUUUUAUAAAUUGGACUUUGAAAUCUCUACUUAUUAGUGAUAUACUAUAAAAUUAAUGGAUGAGAUUAUCUGGAAUGGAGUGACAAAAAUGUGGACAAUUUUGAAAUAAAACUCCCAACAUAACUCCCUUUUUUAUAAAUAGUAUAGAUAAAUAGGUCCUGAAGAACUGCUUUUAUAAAAGGCUGUUAAAUAAUAUCUCUAGAUGAUUUUUCUUUUCUUAGAAAAAGCAACCUUACAAACUAUAGUAACUAAAAUGCUAAACAAAUUUUAAUACCUAUUUCUUUCCUCUUUAGUAAAUAUAAACACCUUGGUACUUGUCGCUAAUGAAAAUUAUUGAAGUGUCUUUUAGAAUUAUAGGAGGAAUAGGUGUAUAGAUAAAGAGAUGGAGAAGUUCUUGUCCUGAUUAUAGUUUUAUAGAAGAUUGCUUGAUAUGGUGUAGUAUGUUACUGAAACAAUUCUAAACUAUCUUGCUAAUGAGAGAAGUUUUAUCCUUAUGUGUUUUUUCUUGUUAAUAUAAAACCCUCAUCUGAUGGGAUGGCGAAAGGAUACUGCAAAAUGCACACAUUGACCUUAAUGAAGCAAAGUGUGUAAUAAUCAAGUACUUAAUAUUUGAUUGACUAUAAGAAUGUUGAGAUUUGCAUUUUGUGCAAAUACUUGCAAAAAACCUCCAAUUGAAUCAAAGCAUUUGUGUUGCUUUCGCUCUUGAUUGGAAAAAGCUAGAAUGCUAGAUGCACAUAAAAAUUUUGGGAAUCACCGGAUUAGUGUCACUUUGCUAGGAGAAAACUAAGAGAUCAUAAGAAAAUUUGUUUAACAUAGGAAAUUGACCUGAAAUUAGUAGUUUUCCGACAUCCUUUGGUUGCUCAAAGCUCUAGUAAAGUAAUAAAUUGUUUGAUCGUUUCAUGACCAUAAUCAAUAGAUGGGGUGAAUGAGUCAUUGUGUUCGCAUCUCUAUAAUGUUUCAGAUACUAGAGAGAUAUACAAAUUUCAUGAUGGAUUAUGAAGGUCUAUAUCUUCUGAUGGCUCACUGAUCCAUUUCUUUGUCAAUUCGUGCAUAUUUUACAAAAUAAGAUUAAGCUUCCUUCUAAAUAUAAUUUGUAGCAUGCAUUAAAUAGCGCAAAUAGUUAUGCCUUUUUUUCCUGAUAUCAGUUCAUUUGGAACUUCUAGUUGCAAUUAAUGAGCAACAAAUGUGUUUGAAGUUCCCCUUGAUUUAAAGAAUUUUAAGUAAUUAAAUUGUCUCCUUUAAAAUUGAUGAAUACUCCAAAAGUUUGGCUAUUCGCCACCCCACUAGCAUGAUAGCUCCCUCCAGGCCAAUGCCUGAACUCAUAAUCUAGAGAACUUCUCGAAAUUUUUAGAUUUUGUAAAGGAUUGUCGUGUCAUUGGUACGAUCCGUGCUGUUGGCAACACGAUAACACAGGGUGUGCCAAUAUCGGUACGCGCCCUCGUGCUAGUGGCAUGCUUCUGGCACACUAGCACAAAUUGGCAUGAGUUUUUUUUUUUCUAAUUAAAUUUUCAUGAAGUAUUAGCUUUUUUGAGUGUUCAAUAUUGCUAAUUGCUAAAAAAUGACCUAAAUAUUAUAUACCACAAUUAAUAAGAAUAGAGUAAUAAGCAUCUUAGUAACUAAAAAUUUAUUUUAUAUAUAUCACGAAAGUAUAUGCAGGUAAAGAAAAUUAAAUUCAUUAUUAGGUAAAAUUUUGUAGGAAACCAUUACCAUGGGGUAAAUUCACUAGAUUUAAAAUGAUAAAAGAAGCUGGGCUAAAAUGCACUUUACUCCCUUUAGUAUAACACUUGUUGUACUUAACCCCUUGGAUAAAAAAUGCACUUAACCGUCCUUCAAAUCUUACACUUUUAGCAUGUAAUCCCUUUGCGAGAACCCGAGUUAGUCCUAUAUAUAAGAAAUAAUAGGGCUAAAACUCUUAACCUGGCUUAUAGCAUUUUGGGCGGUAGUUAGGCCUAAGAGGUUAAUAGAGUUAAGCGUGGUAGGGCUAGAGUGGUCCUAGGAUGUGUGACCUCAUGAGAAGUGGGGCGUCAUAGUUGGUAUCAGAGCCAAUUACCGGUCGGAAGUGUGAAAUGAGUCUUGGCUGAGCCAGAUUAUACAGUGGGGAGAGCGAGGCUCUCAUGCUGAUGAUUAUUGUGGGUAGAGCGCCGCUCCCCCACAAUGUCGGUUAAGGCUGUCGAGAAGAGUCUCACAUUGUCUAAUACUCGUGAGUUUGAGGCUAACGAGGACGUCAUGGCUUAAAGGGGGAGAAUAUGAGACCCCAAGUUAGUCCUAUAUAUAGGAUGUAAUAGGGAUAAAACUCUUAACCCGGCUAUAGCAUUUUGGGUGGUGGUUUUGAGCUUGGGCUUAAAAGGGGGAGAAUGUGAGACCCCAAGUUAGUCCUAUUUAUAAGAUAUAAUAGGGCUAAAACUCUUAAUCCAGCUGUAGUAUUUUUGUCGGCGGCUCUGAGCCUGUGCUUAAAAGGGAGAGAAUGUGAGACCCCAAGUUAGUCCUAUAUAUAAGAUAUAAUAGGGCUAAAACUCUUAAUCCGGUUAUAGCAUUUUGGGCGGUGGUUAGGCCUAAGAGGUUAAGAGAGUUAAGCGUGUUAGGGUUAGAGUAGUCCUAGGAUGGGUGACCCCCGGGAAGUAGGGCGUCACAUCCUUGGAUUAAAAAGUAUGCAUUUAACCCCGUUGUGGAGGAAAAAAAUGAUAACAUGGAGAUGUAUUUGGUCAUUCGACUACAUUUCUUUUUUAACACAGGAAUCUGAUGUAAUAUUUUUGAUCUUUUGAGGGUUAAGUGCAUAUUUUUUGUAUCUAGGGGGUAAAAUGGGAUAUAUUGAGAAGGGUUAUUUGCAUUUUAGCUAAGAAAUUGGGAGAAAUUUUCUUAUUUGUAUUUUUUCACUAAAAGUUGGUCUUAUCAUGCAAUGAUACUUACUAAUUGCUCCAAAUGUUAUUAGAUUUAUAGGAACAACGUAUUUCAAGUAUGGAGAAAUCUUUAUAAAACUUUUCACCUCAAAAAAACUCAAAUUACCUCAGAAAAAUAAAAAAAACCAAUAUAUUGAUAUCGUGUUGGUACUACCUCGCGCGACGUACCGAUAGGCUGGCAUGGCUUCGGCUAGGUACGUUAUGCGCAAUGCUUGAUUAAGGUGGUCUACUACUAGCUUUGGAAUGUUAGCAUGUAGUUGUUUAUAGCAUGUAAUAACCUCGUCAGGUGUGAUGGAUGAUGCUUUCCUGGGUUUGUAGUAGAGUAAACAUAAGCAUUGUUAUUGUAUUUUUUUCUAUUUAUUAUUGUUUUUCCAGUAGAAUUUUGAAAGAGAGACAUUUUAAAAAUAAAGCUUCGCAAAACGAUCAAUUAAACAAUUGAUACAAUUCGAUUACUCAAUCGAUUACUCAAUCAAUUAUUAAUAUACCUAGAGUCCACUCCUUCUCCAUACUACGAGUGAAAGGGAAAAUGUAAAGACUACNUAUAAUUCUUCUAUCAUAUGCAAUAUAUGUCAUCAUGUAUAUGUUUCUAUUUAACAUAAUCCACAAUAUGUUAAUUCACAACAUGUCAUCAUGCACAUAUAUUACUAGCAUCACAUGAUAUGUCAACAUACAUAUAAUCAUCAUCCAAAGUAGUCUAUACUUAGCAUCUCAUGCAUUCUUUUAGCAUUUAAUUCAUUGUACAUUUCAUCUCAUUGGUAGGUAAUAUCAACUAUAUAAUAUGUUUCAAGCAUUCAUAUUAUCAUGUAAGCCUACCAAUACAACUAUAUACAUCAAUGUGAACUCGUAUGUUUCUUAAACAUAAAGGGCGACCUAGUCGCUCCGGUAAGCACAACCCACCUCAUUUCGCAUUCCGAUUGCUUGUCGACACUUGCAAUCGGCCUCCCGCGGCACCCGUGAUCCGGUUCGGCCCGAACUCUCGCGCGACCACCCGAACGGCCACCAAUCCGCGAUACGUCUGUUCUGAAGUUUAUUCCUCGAUACAACGAUGCUCCAGAUCCGGUUUCGUGAUUUUUGGGCGUUUAUCUCGCGUGCUGCGGCUAUCUAUACCAAAACAGACUGUUUCGUCAAUAACUUCGCAUACACUCGUCGGAUUGUCGAACCGAGCGCACCAACGCGUUCGUUAUAACCCCAAUUAGGUUUGUAUAGGGUCAAUUGAGAUCAAAACCCCUCAUGAGCAAAAGCCCUCUUUUUGGAGCCCUAAAACCUCACUAUUGCAAUUAGCUUCAUACAAGUAUUAACCCGAGCAAUAAAUGAGAUUAAUUACUAUUAGAGCAUCAUAAGUUCCAUUUCUACAGUAUAAAACCCUAAUCCAAGCAUUCUACCAUGAGAAGGCAAAGAGCUUACCUCUACUAAGCUCCUUCUCCAAGCUAAGGAAGAAGACAACAAUGGUCAUCCUCCUUCAAGCUCCAAAUCUCCACCAAUUCUCCUCUUGAUUCCACUUCUAGAGAGAGGGAGAGCUUCUAGAGAGAGAGAGGGAGAGUGUUGGGUGGUUGCAAAUGAGAGAAAUGAGAGGGGAUGAGUUCUACACCCCUUUAAUAGCUUAACUCAUGCAACAAUUACAAAAUAGCCCCUCAACUUUGUGUUUUAUGCACUGCCCGCGCGGGGCCAUUUUUUGUAUAAUGGGCCGGUCCUCUAUACAAAUGGGGGACCGGUCCCCGUAAGUCCAGAAUUUCAGCAUUUUUAGGACUUAGCCAAAUUUCAGCAUUUUUCAUUUUUUUCUCCAUUUUCGCUCGUUUGACCUCCGAUUCUUUUCAAAUCGAACCGAGACUCUCCAAACAUGUUUUCGAGCGUGUUUUCAUCAUCUUUUUAUCCUCGCUAAUGCCGAAUUCAGUUCAUGGUCCAACAUAGCCUUUCGGGUUUCGUUUUCGCGCCUACGCCCGUAUGCUCCCGAACUUCACCGAACUUCACCGGAACCAUUCAAAUGGCUUUUCAAACCAAUGUACACCGUAACUUCAUAAUUUUAGAAGUCUGGUACCUUACAUCCUCCCCUCCUUAAAAGAGUUUCGUCCUCGAAACUAUCUCACUCCAAUUCCAAUUCAUACCCCAACUCAACUUAUCAAAUAGUCGAGGGUUCCAAUGCACUUUCGCAUCUCGGAGUGGCCUUUGACUCAUUGGAACUAUCCAAAGGCUCACUACGGAAGAUAUGAGACUAGAUUCACUCACAUUUGCCACGUGUAAGCCCAAAAGUGCAUUACUACCAUGCAAAGAACUACUCUUUGCAUUUUACACCCCAUCGGGAAUUUCACUCCGAUUAGAUCACCGGCAUUGCCUAUAAGUAACAUCAAUGGUGCAUCGACCAAUCGUGAGUGCUCCAAUCCCAACCGGAUCCUUGCUCUAUUACGAGAUGGCCCACUCCGGUACAUCUCCAAUCUCAAUCCACAAAAGAGCAUUGUCCUCAAGCUCCAAUUCCCACGUGGCUAUCCACAUCUCAAUGUCGCACAAGAGCACUUUGCCCUUGAUAUCAUAAGCCACGACCAACUCUACUUCGCUCUUGCGACAAAUCCACACGAACCCUCCAUUCGUGAAUCUAAGCCAAACUCACUAAUAGAGUUAUCGGCUAAACCGAUUACGUCGGUUUCCAUAGGUGGACCAACGGUCACCCGUCCUACGUAGGUCUACCGCCUAAACCUCUCACAACUACGCAUAGCGUCCCUCGCUCACCAGCGUAGACCCAAUCAUAAUCGGGCGAAAUUCUCAUUGGAGAAUUCGCACACACUCCAACCAAGAGCAACCGUGACCCGAAACCACCUCAAAUCCUCGGGUUGGGUCACUACACACUCAGUGUAUCCUCGAUCUCAUGAUCCAACACAUGGCAUUCCACGCUCCCGGGUCUAAGCUCGGACUACCGUCCUGACCAAAUCUCUGCCCUACCCGCAGGUACCGGGCCGCUGUCUCUCACAGCUGACUGCGCCUGCCCAAAGGGCCUAGGCUCCACUAUCCACAAAUGGUCCAGGCACGGGUCAUCCCCAAGCACUACCCGCCGUCGUCGUCCCACACGACAUACUCUAUCGAGCUAUAAGUACACUAUCGGCUCUUAAGCACCUAGUGCGAGCCAUCAGCCCUACGAGUGAUCCAUGGCCCGCUUCACACUUAGCAAUGCUGAGUGCUACUGCCAACUCACUCUCCCGGCUGAAUCGAAACCGCACUCUAUGAGUACCCACACUCGAGCGCUCUAUACGCCUCUAUAGCGUCCCACACUAAGCCCAGCAUUAGGCAAUCUUGCCUAUGCACACUGGCCGCACGAGCGCAACCACCUACCUCACCUUGAGGUACUAUUAGGCCCACGUGCUCAAACUUGGCCACUAAUCGACCGUUCUCUCAACAGUGAUGCUACCUUCACUGUUCGAUCUAUCGAAACGACAUCCGAAAUUUUCGAACCACUCGGGUGUUCUCAUAAGCAUCAUGACUCAACUCCCACAAUUUACUACUCAUAUUGCUCUGAGAGUAAUUUAGCCACUUCUAUCUCUACCGCGAGUCUCACUUCUCGCCAUAGAUUACUUCUAGCAUUUCGCUAGUGCCAUCUGGCUUUAUACCUGUACUGGCAGGUACUACGCCCUCAGAGAACACAAAACUCCAUCUCUAGAGCAAUCAAACCUAUCUCUAGAAAUCCACCAUGAGAGAGAGCUUAGAAGCUUACCUCUCCGAGAAGCUCCAACCAAGGAGAAGAUGAAGAAGAUGAGGAAGACUUCCUUCCCUUCUCUUUCUUUCCUUUCCUUUCUUCUUCAUCUUCUUGUCUUCUAGAGAGAGAAAGAAAGAUAUGAGAGGGUGUGUGGGUGAGAAAUGAGAGAAAAGAGCUCUCAUAUCCCUCACAUAACCCCACAUGUUGCAUAAGUAUAAAUAAGCCCCUCAACUUUCAUCUUUGUGCACAGCCCUCACUGGGCUUUCUGCGCCCAGAGGAACCGGUCCCUCGUCGGGGAGACCGGUCCCCGAGAGCCCUCCCCGUGGCCUGGGGACCUCUCGCGUACGGGAACCGGUCCCUACCCGAGAGACCGAUCCCUGGGAGACCGGUCCUUCCUGAGAGACCGGUUCCCGAAAGCUGAAUUUCUAGGACUUAGCCUUUUUUUUGCCCUUCUCUCGCUGGUGUCGCAUACGGGGACCGGUCCCCUCAGCCAGGGACCGGUUGCAUCAACCUCCCCCGCAACCAUCAGCUACGGGGACCGGUCCUCCCUCACAGCGACCGAUCUCCGGAGCAAAAUCUGCUAAGUCCCGAUUUUUGCAUAUUUGCUCUCGCGGACACGUUUCUAAUGCACUUUUAGUGUUUUGGACAUCUUUAGCUUUUUCGAAGAAUACUCACUCGACAAAGAGUCGAUCCUGGACGAAGCACAACUCUCGAAUUUCGAGAAUUCACUUCCUUACAUGCACAACCUCGACCAUGUCCGGCCAAGGUCUCCGCAGAGGCAUUACCCCGCCACUCACACGAGAGUGGCCAAUCACUCGCGAAGUCCCAAGUCUCCGCUCGUUUCGGAUUGCUUAGGGACACUACUCGUCUCAUCCCGUGCCGAUCUAGAUGAAGAUCGCCAACGCGGUUGUAAUACACCGAAAUUUUUCAAAUUGCGGAGUUCGAGUAUGUGGCAUGAGUUGUGGAACUAUCCUACAUGUUCUAAAAGGUUUGGACAAGUUUUUGAACAAAUUAGAGGAUGAUUGGAAAGCUAGAAGUGAGAAAGUGCAUUGCAAUUUCGAAAUAAGCAUUUUCUGCAUUGUGUACCGGUACAGCCAUUACCCUUUACCGGUACAGCAAGCAGCAGAGUCAGCUGCUGCGGGACAGCAGGGUUCUUUUGGACUUUUCACCCUCCAUACUUAUCCCUUAUGCCCAGCUCGACCAGGGACACCUUGUAUACAUUGCUGGUGAUCAGAGGGAGCUCCUCCCACCUCUUCCACACUCUCUCUCUAGGGUUUUUCUCUCUCUACGAGAAAACCGCCGAUUCAAGUUGAUUUCGCGCCGGGUUCGUUGCUCGCUGCUUUGGCGACUCUUGGGAUGCUUCCUGCACGUGGGGAGGAAGCUUUUCUCUGAGGUUUCUGUGUUGGAUUACCUCGCUCACGAGCAGGUCAUGAUGCCAUUUGGGUAAUUGUGGAUAGAUUGACCAAAUCUGCCCACUUUAUCCCAAUCCAUACAGUCUGGUUAGGGGAGAGACUCGCACAAAUGUAUCUUGAUGAAAUUGUGCGAUUACAUGGAGUACCAGCUUUUAUUGUUUCAGAUCGAGACACCCGAUUUGUUUCACAUUUCUGGAGGAGUUUACAGGAGGCUCUGGGUACUCGAUUGGAUUUUAGUACUGCUUUCCACCCCCAGAGUGAUGGGCAGUCUGAGCGUAACAUCCAGACCCUUGAGGAUAUGUUGAGGGCCUGUGUGAUGGAUUACCAGGGCAGUUGGCCACAGUUCCUACCGAUGGCUGAAUUUGCUUAUAACAAUAGUUAUCAAGCAAGCAUUCAGAUGGCACCUUUUGAAGCCCUCUAUGGUAGAAAGUGCAGAUCACCACUUCAUUGGAGUGAAGUGGGUGAAAGAUUAGUUUUGGGUCUAGAUGUACUGCAAGAAGCUGAAGCUAAAGUUCGUCUGGCACGAGAACGUCUACUGACAGCACAAAGUCGACAAAAGAGCUAUGCGGAUAAACAUCGACGAGAACUGGAGUUUCAAGUUGGCGAUCAUAUAUUCCUAAAGGUUUCCCCGACGAAAGGAGUUAAAAGAUUUGGCAUUCGAGGAAAGUUGAGGCCUCGAUUUAUUGGACCCUACGAGGUAUUGGAACGGAUAGGCUCCGUAGCGUAUCGGCUUGCUUUGCCGCCAAACCUAUCGGGAGUACAUAAUGUAUUUCAUGUAUCCACGCUUCGGAAAUAUGUUUUUGAUCCAACUCAUAUUUUGGAGAGUACUCAAGUGGAUUUACAAGAAGAUUUGAGUUUCGAGGAGCAGCCAGUGAGGAUACUAGCUCGAGAAGUAAAACGGCUUCGAAAUCGCGAGAUACCCUACGUGAAAAUCCUUUGGAGCAAUGACGAUGAACGGGAAGCCACUUGGGAACUGGAGAAUGCAAUGCAAGAGCAUUAUCCCUAUCUAUUCUCGAUGGAACCGUGAGGUAAGUAUUUCCAAGUUUCGCGGACGAAACUUCUUUUUAGGAGAGGUGAAUGUAAUACACCGAACUUUUGCAAAUUGCGGAGUUCGAGUAUGUGGCAUGAGUUGUGGAACUAUCCUACAUGUUCUAAAAGGUUUGGACAAGUUUUUGAACAAGUUAGAGGAUGAUUGGAAAGCUAGAAGUGAGAAAGUGCAUUGCAAUUUCGAAAUAAGCAUUUUCUGCAUUGUGUACCGGUACAGCCAUUACCCUGUACUGGUACAGCAAGCAGCAGAGUCAGCUGCUGCGGGACAGCAGGGUUCUUUUGGACUUUUCACCCUCCAUACUUAUCCCUUUUGCCCAGCUCGACCAGGGACACCUUGUAUACAUUGCUGGUGAUCAGAGGGAGCUCCUCCCACCUCUUCCACACUCUUUCUCUCUAGGGUUUUUCUCUCUCUACGAGAAAACCGCCGAUUCGAGUUGAUUUCGCGCCGUGUUCGUUGCUCGCUGCUUUGGCGACUCUUGGGAUGCUUCCUGCACGUGGGGAGGAAGCUUUUCUCUAAGGUUUCUAUGAAGUUACUAUCUGAGAAGCUGGGUGAAAGCUUUAGAGAGGUAAUUAACUUGAUUUUCUCUCUAGUUUAUGGUUUAGGGUCGAUUUUUAAGCCGUUUUGGUAUUGCUGCUCCUAACUGAAGUAGAAGGUGUUUACAGCAGUAAGGAAGGGUUAUUUUAGCUACUAAUUAUCCAUCUAAACCCAGAGAUGUGUUGCUCUAAAGCUUAUUAAGGAUAAUUAGUGAGUUCUAACUCAAUUUCGGAACUAUACGCUGUUUAAUCGCGAAAUUGACGCAGUUUCGUAUGAUCUCUUCGCAGCAGGUCUUUGAGUCUCUUUGAGCUGAACUUGUACUUUUAAAAGCUGGUUUGGAAGCUGUUCUACCCUGUGGUAAACAGGAAUUUCAGGUUUAAAACUGAUUUAGUAAAAACUCGACUAUAAUAGCUUAUAUGUAAGCAUAUUGAUGUCGUUUCGGUAUUGUGCGCAGCAAGAGGGUAAUUGACCCUUGGACCGCCUUCUACUGGCAUUGGAGGGCCUUUUGGAAGCUUAACUUGAGGUAUAAUACUAGCCCCAAAACAGGGAUUUAAGAGGUACUUUGUACUAAGUACAAAUUAGGCCGAAAUCGGACAUUUCGGUCGUCCUUUUGACACGGUGUUGAUAUUGUUUUCAGCAGGGUUGGAGCCUCGUGGAGCGGAUUAUUGCGACUUCUUGUGAUUACUUGGAGCUUAGUACUAGGUGGGUUUGACCUAACCAGAGCAAGUGAAGCUCUCCUAUGUUCUAUAUGUAUGAAAUUAAUAUAGUUGGGCGAUAUUGGCACAAUAUGGUUGUUUGGAACUUCUUGGCCAUAACAUUGAAUAGAACCUCUAUGAAGUAGAGAGAAUUCAUGCAUAAUUGUACUUAUGCUUAUGUUUAUGUUUAUCUUUAGCUAAGUUAAAUAACUAAUGGACAUUAUAAUCAUGCUUUUGUAAAGUAGAGAACAAUAAUAUUCUCGUGACUUUAUCGAUUAUAAAGUAGAGAACAAUGACAUGCCAUAUGACUAUAUUGAUAGUGCCAUGAUAGUGGAGAAAUUCUAAUGCCAUAUAUUAACUAGCAUUACUCUCACCUGUUUGCUAAUCUAGUGGAUACUAGUUGUUGUCAAUAUUGGUUAUAUUGAAAUUCCGAUCAAAGGAUCGAGAGCGAGAAUAUUGUGAGUUAAAUUGUGAUAGUUGAGAUAUGUUGGAUUGUGGACCUUGCUUGCUUGCCAUCGUGCUCAUUCGCACAUGCUUCUGAGGGUAGCUCCCUACAAGCCGGCACUCCGGAGUUGGCCUACGCGACAGUUACUCGCCCGUGCGGGAUUGGGUGCCGAAAUGGAUUGCCGUGGGGAGCGUAUAUUACCACGGGGCCAUUAGGCGCGGUGCAAGCCGGACUACCUUGAGUAGGUCCUUAUGGACGAAAUGAAAGUACUAAAUGACAUUUGACAGUAAUGAAUGCUUACCUGUUAUAGUAGAUAUUUACAUAUUCGUGUUUAUGUUCAUGUUAUAUUCAUUACUGCAGAGAUUAUGAUUCCAUGUUGAUUACAUGUUCUCUCCCUGUUAGCAUUGCAUAUAUAUAUAUCAUGCAAUUAUUGCUUUUACUUUCAUUUAGCACAUCAUGAGCCUAGUGGUGUAAUUCGCCGAGGCUGGCGGCUUACCUACUGGGAACUAUUGUUUAUAGUUCUCACGCCCUUCUAUUGUUGUUUUUACAGAGCCAUCUACAGGAGAGGCUAGGGAUCGUGGCAAGGGAGUCGCGUCUAGCUAGACAUUGCUAGGGGCAUGCUAGUUGAUCACCUUGCUACUCGGGCUACAGCCGAGGGUGAUGUCCCUAUGUAUAGAGAGACCACCAUUGUAUCUACUUAUUGUAUACCCCAUAAUGUAUAUUUACUGUUGGGCCAGAUGUUUCAGUUGGGAUACCUUCUUGGUUGUUCAGAUUUUGGGAUUAUUACACUUUGUUCUAUUGUUGUUAGUCCUUGUGACUUUUUCUAUGCUCUGAUAUCUGGAUAGGGUUAUUUUAUGUCUUUACUCCUAUCGACUUGUUUCUUGUAGACGCCUUAUAUACUGCAGGUGUAUGGCGGGUCUGUGCACGUACCGGAUUUGCUUCCGCUGAUACCCGGGCGUGACAGAUUAUAAUGGUAUCAGAGCCUAGGGUUGAGUAUUAGUAGACCUAGCAAACCUUAGGCUGGUUGGACUAUAAGAAUAGGCUCGUGAGAGACGAGGUCUAGUUGAGUUGUUGUUAGCGAAAGUACUUUAAUUGGGUAAUUUAUAAACUCCGAAUGGUAGGAGUUUGAUCGGAAUGUGCAAUUACUAACUUUGCAGAGGGUCACGUUGGCGGCCGACAACGUGACAUCGGAAGUUAGUACGCGUUACAUUUCCUUGCUUUCGCUUGACUAGUUGGCUUAUACCUGAAGUAAAGGUUCAGUAGUAUAGGUUUUAUUAAUAUAUAUUAUUUUUGUGCUACAGCUCAAGAUGCCUUUGACUCGUUCGCAAGCCGCCGGGGCAGCUGAGGCGGCGGAUGCAGAGGAAGUGGGGACUUCUGUUACUUCGGGAUCUAGUGGGAUCCAUGAGUUGCAGGAUCAGCUCGCGAAGUUGACAGAUUUGGUUGCUCAGCAGGCUGCGGCCGCGCGACAGUAGAUAGAUGCCGCACGUCGACAGGAGGACAGGAUGAAGAGGUUAGAGGAUUUACUACUGCGGCAGACGAUAGACAGAGAGAUUCCUGAUCCUAUACCUACAGUACCAGACAGGGAUGCGGUAGUGAGAGCACAGUCACCAGUACCUGACACACCCCCAGUAGCUCCGAGGGCGGAGACCAGACAGGAGACAGUAGUACCACCACCAGUACCUGUAGCGGCAUCAGGGACAGUGUUACCAGAGAUGGUGGGGGCUGAGGAGCGAGAGCGGAUGAUGGAACAAUUGAAUGAAUUCCGUCGUUGCACCCCUCGUAUCUUUGACGGGGAGAAAGCAGAUCAUUGGGUGGUCGAGAAAUGGCUAAUGCACAUGGAGAAGCUAUUCUAUGAUACUUUCGUCACGGAGCGAUAUCGGGUUUCGUUUGCGACACACCACCUUGAUGGCGAGGCUUAUAGGUGGUGGGUGGAUAUCCGUGAGGAUCCCCGUACUGAUUUUGGGAUACCUUCUUGGUUGUUGAGAUUUUGGGAUUAUUACACUUUGUUCUAUUGUUGUUAGUCCUUGUGACUUUUUCUAUGCUCUGAUAUCUGGAUAGGGUUAUUUUAUAUCUUUAAUCCUAUCGACUUGUUUCUUAUAGACGCCUUAUAUACUGCAGGUGUAUGGCGGGUCUGUGCACGUACCGGAUUUGCUUCCGCUGAUACCCGGGCGUGACAGCGGUGCUAUCGCUUCCUAAGACACGACAACUCGGUCGAUUCUCGACCCACAAGGUCGAGCGCGAAACAACUGACACCGACUCGAAUCGGGCGAAAGUCAUGCAAGGGUGUCUAUUCUCAUCACUUGGUUUCAUAUUGUGUAUACCCAACAUGAACACCCUCUGUUGAGAAUAAACUAUACCUCGAGUCUACCUCUAAUAUCUAUUUUAGAGGUUUACUAACCUGACCCAAUCAAUCAAUCUUUCGCCAAAACUCACAAGUUUUCGUCUCUUACGAGCCUUAUUCUCCUAUGGUUUACUAUCCUAGGGUCUCCUAGGUCCGCCUAAACCAUUUCCCAUUCUCUACUUUAUGCUCUGAUACCACUUCUAUCUGUCACGACCUGCAACCACCCGCCUAUUUGGCCGAGGUCGUGGCGCCGCCGACAGACCGCCGAAUGGACAGAGUCUCCCCUGUACGUCCUAGGCGUCGCAAUCAGUACAAGUACAAGAAGUUCCAACUAGAAACAGUAUUCAAGCAAGAUUGCAUAAGGAAGGUAUCAAACAACAUAACACAUCCUAUGCUAUUACAAGCAUUCCCAUUAGAUUCAUUUUUACAUCACAUUAGUAUUAUUAUAUUAUAUUUUCUUCCAAAUACAAUUAAUGAUCGUAAUAUUAUUACAAGUUUGCUCUUUUUUCUUUUCCCUCUACCCAUUGACUAUGCCGACUAGGGGUACCUCUAUCUCUAGUCUCUGGGGUAGGGCGCUAUCUAUGGAGCUACGCCCUCGCCUUGCACUACCGCGCCGCUCACGUGCGAACCUGUAACACCCCAAAACAACGUGGGGUGAGAACCAACUCCAUAGUUCCCAGUGGGUACGGCCACCUAAGGGAAAAGCUCGACCAAUAGGUCUAAGGAGGCCCUGCAACAUGUUAGUCCAACAGAUAUGCAACAGAUAUAUAUAUUCAAGUAUUGAAAUACAUGUUGUGCUUCACAAUAUGCAGUAUGAAAUUCAUGCAGUUUAUGCAACCAUGCAACCAACUAGUAGAUCAAUCGAUACUACUUUUAUUCCUGUUAUUCACAGUUCAGCCAAUUGACUUCUAAGUUUUCCACUAUCUUAGAUUCUUGUCAAUUACAAUUCUUCUCAUAGGGUUUAACCUGCUUUUAUAAGCUAUCCACUCGACUCAGUCUUGAGUCAAUCACACGCGGAAUACCGCACAAAGCCAGGCUCAAGAUGUAGGAUGUCUCACAUGCACCUCAGCCCUAAAUCCACUCAACUGGGAUGCAACUAAAACUCAUACCAUACAUCAAAUAGUAAAUGUUUACUAUCAUGCUAACGAAUUCGAUCCAUGUUCGAAGAAUAAUGUUCAAUGACAUUGUUCACUGUUCUUUUACCCAAUCUGUAGCGAAGCCCUAGGGUUCGCCAAUAACUCACAUUUCAAUACUAAAGUAGGGAGGGAGCUCCAAGUGCACCCAAGCCCGGGACCGUCUGCGGACCUCCAUGUGGUCCGGACCUCCAAGUGGUCCUAGUCGCACGACACUCCGGAGUACUCGACAACAAUCCCCUCCAUGUAGGGAUAUGGAUGGCUAUACCACCCCAAAAGCAGACUGUGAGCUAGAUCUAUCCUCUCUAAGUGAGGAUACCCUACAACUAGGGUCAACAACCCAAUCCAAUCCUCUCCAAGUGAGGAUGCUCUACAACUAGAGUCAACAACCCAAUCCAAUCCUCUCCAAGUGAGGAUGCUCUACAACUAGAGUCAACAACCCAAUCAAAUCCUCUCCAAGUGAGGAUGCCCUACAACUAGGGUCAACAUCUCAAUAACUCAUCGACAACCUCUUCAUAUGAGGGUACUUAGGUUUACUGAGUUCUUUAUCCAUAAGGCAUUUUCUAAGAGAUUCACCUAUCCCUAGGUUCUCAAACCUCUAGUGUCAAAUACACUAUAUUAAUGCCACUCGAUGUGUUCUUGUUUUCUAAUGUCAAUUUCUCUAAUCGACCAAGUUCAACAUGCAUAAUUCAUCCACUAUGUUCCACAGUAUAGCAACAUGUAUAAUUCUUCUAUCAUAUGCAAUAUAUGUCAUCAUGUAUAUGUUUCUAUUUAACAUAAUCCACAAUAUGUUAAUUCGCAACAUGUCAUUGUGCACAUAUAUUACUAGCAUCACAUGAUAUGUCAACAUACAUAUAAUCAUCGUCCAAAAUAGUCUAUACUUAGCAUCUUAUGCAUUCUUUUAGCAUUUAAUUCAUUAUACAUUUCAUCUCAUUGGUAGGUAAUAUCAACUAUAUAAUAUGUUUCAAGCAUUCAUAUUAUCAUGUAAGCCUACCAAUACAACUAUAUGCAUCAAUGUGAACUCGUAUGUUUCUUAAACAUAAAGGGCGACCUAGUCGCUUCGGUAAGCACAACCCACCUCAUUUCGCAUUCCGAUUGCUUGUCGACACUUGCAAUUGGCCUCCCGCGGCACCCGUGACCCGGUUCGGCCCGAACUCUCGCGCGACCACCCGAACGGCCACCAAUCCGCGAUACGUCUGUUCUGGAGUUUAUUCCUCGAUACAACGAUGUUCCAGAUCCGUUUUCGUGAUUUUUGGGCAUCUAUCCCGCGUGCUGCAGCUAUCUGUACUAAAACAGACUGUUUCGUAAAUAACUUCGCGUACACUCAUCGGAUUGUCGAACCGAGCGCACCAACGCGUUCGUUAUACCCCCAAUUAGGUUUGUAUAGGGUCAAUUGAGAUCAAAACCCCUCAUGAGCAAAAGCCCUCUUUUUGGAGCCCUAAAAUCUCACUAUUGCAAUUAGCUUCAUACAAGCAGUAACCCGAGCAAUAAAUGAGAUUAAUUACUUUUAGAGCAUCAUUAAGUUCCAUUUCUAAAGUAUAAACCCCUAAUCCAAGCAUUCUACCAUGAGAAGGCAAAGAGCUUACCUCUACUAAGCUCCUUCUCCAAGCUAAGGAAAAAGACAACAAUGGUGAUCCUCCUUCAAGCUCCAAAUCUCCACCAAUCCUCCUCUUGAUUCCACUUCUAGAGAGAGGGAGAGCUUCUAGAGAGAGAGAGGGAGAGUAUUGGGUGGUUGCAAAUGAGAGAAAUAAGAGGGGAUGAGUUCUACACCCCUCUGAUAGCUUAACUCAUGCAACAAUUACAAAACAGCCCCUCAACUUUGUGUUUUAUGCAUUGCCCGCGCGGGGCCAUUUUUUGUAUAAGGGACCGGUCCUCUAUACAAAUGGGGGACCGGUCCCCGUACGUCCAGAAUUUCAGUAUUUUUAGGACUUAGCCAAAUUUCAGCAUUUUUCGUUUUUUUCUCCGUUUUUGCUCGUUUGACCUCCGAUUCUUUUCAAAUUGAACCGAGACUCUCCAAACAUGUUUUCGAGCAUGUUUUCAUCAUCUUUUCAUCCACGCUAAUGCCGGAUUCAGUUCAUGGUCCAACAUAGCCUUUCGGGUUUCGUUUUCGCGCCUACGCGCACCAAAACGCCUGUAUUCUCCCGAACUUCACCGAACUUCACCGGAACCAUUCAAAUAGCUUUUCAAACCAAUGUACACCGUAACUUCAUAAUUUUAGAAGUCCGAUACCUUACAAUCGUUUUCAACUUCACCGCGCACCUUUUGGAGAUAUUCAUCGGAAGCUUGUAGCUCUUUAAUCCUCUCCAACAAGAUCGGUUGCACAACCAAUGCGGUAAGAGUAGCCGGCACUCCCAAAGCUACUACUUCAAGUCCAAACCGUUGCAUCUCCUUUUGCAAUAACGGUUGAGGUGUAAUUGCCGAAGCCAAGUUUUCCAUUUCAAUUUUCUACUUAGAGCAUCGGCCACGACAUUUGCUUUUCCUCGGUGAUAUAGAAUAGUAACAUCAUAAUCUUUUAACAACUCUAACCACCGCCGCUGUCGCAUAUUCAAUUCCUUUUGGGUGAACAAGUAUUUGAGACUCUUAUGAUCCGUGUAGAUCUCACAAUACUCACCGUACAAGUAAUGCCUCUACAACUUUAGCGCGAAUAUCACCGCGACUAGCUCAAAAUCAUGAAUCGGGUAGUUCUUUUCAUAGUUCUUUAAUUGGUGCGAAGCAUACGCAAUGACUCGCCUAUUUUGCAUCAAAACACACCCGAGACCAAUGUAUGAAGUAUCACUGUGCACCGGGGUCAAUGUCAAUCUUUCCUUUAAUUCCUCGAAGCUCCGAUCGCAAUCGUCACUACACAGAUACUUCACUCCUUUGUACGUGAGGCGCGUUAGUGGAGUAGUUAUUUUAGCAAACCCCUCUACGAACCGCCGGUAGUAUCCCGCAAGUCCAAGAAAGCUACGGAUUUUCGCUACACUUGUCGGGCGAGGCCAAUCUUUAAUUACCUCAACUUUCUUUGAAUCUACCGAGACUCCAUCGCCCGAUAUCACAUGGCCUAAGAAAGUGACCUCCGAAAGCCAAAAGUCACAUUUCUUCAACUGGCAUAUAGCUUCUCUUUUCGGAGUAUUUGCAACACGGUCCUCAAGUGUUCCUCGUUUUCUUCCUCACUCCGUGAAUAUACCAACACGUCGUCAAUGAAUACCACGAUGUAUAGGUCCAACAACGAUCGAAAGACUCGAUUCAUCAAAUCCAUAAAUGCUGCGGGCAUUAGUAAGCCCAAACGGCAUUACCGUGAACUUGUAGUGGCCAUACCGCGUACGGUACGCCGUUUUGUGCACAUCCUUCGACCGGAUCUUCAACUGAUGAUACCCCGACUGAAAAUCUAUCUUCGAAUAUACCCGUGACCCUUGCAACUGAUUGAACAAAUCGUCUAUUCUCGGCAAUGGGUACUUGUUCUUGAUUGUCAUCUUGUUCAACUCGCGAAAAUCCACGCAGAGUCGAAGUGUGCCGUCCUUUUUCAUUACAAAUAGCAUCGGAGCUCCCCACAGUGACACGCUCGGCCUCACAAAGUCUUUAUCGAGCAAGUCUUGCAAUUGAGCUUUUAACUCUACUAGCUCCGCCGAUGCCAUUCUAUACGAAGCCUUCGAAACUGGCGUCGUCCCGGGAACCAAAUCAAUAAUGAACUCGAUCUCCCGGUCCGGUGGCAAUCCUGGUGGUAACUCCGCCGGAAACACAUUCGGAAAUUCACACGCUACCCGAAUAUCACCAAGUUCCGGGUGCUCCCUUUGAGCUUCUACCAUUGUCGCCAAAUUGGCCACACAUCCGCCUUUGAUCAUUUUCCUCGCCCUCGCCGCUGACACGGUCGCCGCGAAGCGCGAGCUUUUACAUGCCUGGUAUACUAACUCCUCUUGGUUAGGCUCACGAAACGUGAUCACCUUGCUUUCACAAUCAAUAACCACAUAGUACUUAGAGAGCCAAUCGACCCCCAAGAUUACUUUGAAGCCCCACAUUUGCUUGGGCACUAGUAAAUCUGCCAGCAUAAUCCAAUCACCUAUCUGAACUGGACAAGCCAAGCACUCCUCAUGAACCUUAAAUGAAUGCUUUGGUGCAUUGACCCACCAAUAAUUCGGGUUAUGCAAUAUUUUCAUGCCAUGAGUUUUAGCGAAUAAUGCACCAAUGAAUGAAUGAGAUGCACCUGUAUCGAAACAAUGCUCUAGCUCUAGUGCCAUUAAUUGAAAUAAUACUUGCCACGACAUCAUCUGGUACGGCAGGCUGCUCCUCUACCUUAGUGGCAAAAAUCGGUCCACUCGGUGCUCUAGAUCCCUCCGGUCGAUGCAGUGACGAUGCGUGUCCAGCCGACAUAGCCAUGGUAACCCCGCAAGCUGUCUCGGGGACGAAGGAACCGAUGCCGCCGUCGGUGCAGACAAUGCCCAUCCCGGUCAUUCCCGAAUAAGAUGUCCUGGUUGGCCGCACUUGAAGCACUUUCCCUCGCGCUGCGGGCAAGUUGACGGUCGAUGCUCACCGCCGCAGAUAACGCAUCGAAAAAGCCUCCCACUCUUCGACCACUGUCGGGGAUACCGAGGGGGUUUCUUAGCAUUUGGCAGGACCCCGGCACCGCCCGUCACCCGCUUCUUGCCUUUAUCUCGAUCCUUGUCCAUUGCCUCGCGCUCUCCACGAGCAUAGGCUCUACCGUUCUCCACCCAAAGCACUCGAUCCAAGACCUCCGCAAAGAUCGUAAGCUUGAGAAUUUGCACCUUCUCGUAAAUCCUCGGCUGGAGUCCUCGCAAGAACCAAUCAGCCCAGUCUCGAUCAUCACGAACAACAUCCGGGACACAAUCAAUAAUGUGGGAAAACUCCCGCUCAUAUUCUCCCACGGUUCGAUCACCUUGUCGCAACUUGCGGAAUUUAUCUUGCAACUUUCGCUUCUCGGUGUCGGGGAAGUAGUUCGCAAACAUUUGUCUUCGGAACUCCUCCCAAAGCAUAGGCAGAAGGUCGGAAGACCUAUCCCGCUUCACACGCUUCUACCACACCUUCGCCGUCUUCUCCAAAUAGUGAGUGGCGAGGUGCACCUUGUCUUUCUCUAAGGUGUAAAUAUCCUCAAAGAGCGUCUCAAUAGAGUCGAUCCACGACUCCACCAUCCACGGCUCCACCUUCUCCCCGUCAAAGAUAGGUGGAUUGAACUUCUUGAACAUGACGAGAGCCACCAACGCACGCUCCCGCUCCGCCUCUAUAGCCGCACCGUCGGGAUUUGAGGUUCCUGAACUGGCCGCUAUCGCCGUGACUGGAAUAGCCGCUGCGGCCACUCCCUCAACCACAGUUGGCACCACUACAGGGGGUGCGAGAUGCUCGGCCCCCACUUGAGCUGCCGCCGCCUGCUACCGCUCCAAGGCCUCUUGGAGUCUUUUCAUUCGCUCCUCCUGGCGCAUUGCAGCCUCCUGCUGUCGCUACACCACAUCGGCUUGUUGCCUCACCACUCCCACGAGUGUGGCCAACUACUCGCGAAGUUCGAAGUCUCCGCUCGCCUCAGCUUGCUCAGGGACAUCACUUGUCCCGUCCCGCGCCAAUUUGGAUGAAGAUCGCCUGUGCGGUGCCAUCGCUUCCUGAAACACGACAACUUGAUUAGUUCUCGACCUGCUAGGUCAAGUACAAAACACGUAACGACUACUCAAAUCGGGCGAAAGUCACGCAAGGGCAUCUAUUCUCAUCACUCGGUUUCAUGUUGUCGCGCACCAACAUGAACACCCUCGAUUGAGAAUACACCACACCUUGAAUCUACCUCUAAUAUCCGUCUUAGAGGUUUACAACCCGACCAAAUCAAAUAACUUUCGCCACAAGUGACAAAUCCUCGUCUCUCACGAGUCUUUUCCUCUAUGGUUUACUAUCCUAGGGUCUCCUAGGUCCAUCUAAACUAUUUUCAUUCUCUACUUUAUGCUCUGAUACCACAUUAUCUGUCACGCCCCGACACCCGCCUAUUUGGUCGGAUUCGGAGACGUCAACAGACCGCCAAACGGACAGAGUUUUCUCUGUAUGUCCUAGGCGUCGCAAUCAAUACAAUACAAGAGGUUCCAUCCAGGAACAGUAUUCAACAUACAUGCAAAUUGCAUAAGGAAGUAUCAAAAACAUAAAACAACUAGCUAUUACAAGCAUUCACAUUAGAUGCAUUUUACAUCACAAUUACAUAUUGCAUUUUACUUCCAAAAUACAAUCUGAGUUAUUACAAUUUUAAUACAAUUUGGUUCUUUCAUUUUUCUAUACCCUUAGGCUAUGCAGACUCGGGGUACUACUAUCUCUGGUCUCUGGGGUAGGGCGCUACCUACAGAGCUACGCCCUUGCCUUGCGCCGCCGCGCCACUCACGUGCGAACCUGUAACACCCCGAAACAACGUGGGGUGAGAACUAACUCCAUAGUUCCCAGUGGAUAUGGCCACCCAAGGGAAAAGCUCGAUCAGCAGGUCCAAAGGAGACAAACAACAUGUUAGUUCAACAAAUAGAUAUAAUAACAUCAUAAGUUAUGCAACUAACAUUAUCAUGCUUUUGCCUCACAAAUGCAAUCAUGCCAUGCUAUAUGCAAAUCAUGCAACAACGUAACAACAUAAGUAGAUCUACCGAUUCUACUUCUAUCUCGCUAUCUAGCUCAUAUCCAACUAGCUGCUAAGAUUUCUACUACCUUAGAUCCAUGUUAUUUAUCACUAGCCUUUAAGGUUCCAUCUACCUCAUCCAAGCUAGCCACCCGACUCGGCCUCGAGUCAAUCAAUUGCGGAAUACCGCACUCUAUGCGGCUUAAGGUGAAGGACAUCUCACUUGCACCUCAGCUUUCAAUCCACAAUCACAUCGCCCAACGGGUCGCCCAGAGCUGCGUACACCCGUGGUCAGGAAUCUUUCCAGUGGGAGGGGAAUAUGCCACACACACCCGCGGCCCAAGACCCCCGAUUGGGAGGAGAAUAAGCCUCAUGGCCCCCUAGCGAUCUAAGAUUUUUCCGAUAGGAGGGGAACAUGCCACACACACGAGCGGCCAAGAAUCUUCCACAAGCCUAUCCUCGAAGUUCACUCGGUGGGAGAGGAAUAUGCCACACACACCUGCGGCCAAGAACUAUCGAGUUCACAAGUCCUGGGAUUCCGGAAUCCACUUCACAUAGCCCAAGGGUUGGUCUUAAACCCUAUAGUGUCGACCUAUUUAGGUCCAAUGUCCUUUCCAUCCUAGGUCCAAUUGACUCUAGGUUCAAUGCCUUUAUCACAUAACCUAGAUUUACUUGACUCUAGGUUCAAUUCUCAACCUAUGUUCUUUAACACUAGGUUUAAUGCCACUCAUGAUUCACCUAUGUUCAACAACACUAGGUUCGAUGCCAACCUAUAUUUAAUACCACUAGGUUCAAUGCCACUCAAUCUACUUGACAUCCUAAUUGUCUGCAUCGAGUACUAUAGUUACAUGUUCUUGUUUUUCAAUGUCGAGUUCUCUAACAACCUAGUGUUAUCGACCCGAGUUUACAUUUACACAAUUCCGGCACAUGCUAUAAUAUGUCACCGUGCCUAUUUCUUCUAGCAAACAUUCCACAAUUUGCCAAUAUGCAUAUACUUCCUAGCAUAUUCUCAUGAUGCCAUUAUGCAUUUACUAUCUAGCAUGAUUCCCAUAAUGCCAACAUGCAUAUACAUCUAGUAUAGCCCACAAUAUCAACAUGCAUAUUCUAUUUAGCAUUUUCUCAUCAUGUCACUAUUUAUAUAUCUUCUAGCAUAUUUUUCAUAAUGCUAACAUGCAUCUACUUGUCAUUUAAGGUAGUUAAUACAUACAUCUCAUGCAUUUACACGGUAUCUACCAAUGCAUCCAUUUAUAUAAUUAACUACCUUUAUCUAAUAUAUAUAUACAUCAAUGAGAAUUCAUACUCCACUUUGACAUGGAGGCGACCUAGUCGCUUCGGUGAAGCACAACCCACCUAUUAUCGCGUUCUGAUUGCUUGUAGUCACUUGCAAUCGGCCUCCCGCGACACUCGUUGUCUGGUUCAGCCCGAUCAUGCAAAUAAUCACCAACCGUGCGUCAAUCCGCAGCCUCGGGUUUUAAAAGGCUUCAUCUAGAUGCCGCGAUCUAGGAAUCCGAUUUCGCGAUUUUUGGACGUCGCCUCGGCCCUCCAGGCGAAAACGAAGCUUAAAUGGUCCUUUUUCCCAAUAUCUUUGCGUAGCCUCGUCGGAUUGCCGAACCGAGGCCACCAAUACGUCAGAAAACCUAGCAAUUAGGUUUGUAUAGGGUUAAUCUAGAUCAAACCCUCAUACAUAGCAAAACCCCCUUUUGUAGCCCUAAGAUGCUACUAUUGCAAGAAACCCCAAAUCAAGUUAUGAUUCAAGCAAUAAUCAACUAUUUAGUAUCCUAGGAUUUAUCUAAAACCACUUAUAGAGCAUAUAAAUGAAGCCCUCGCAAUCUACUAUUAAAAGGCAUCAAGCUUACCUCUCCAAGCUUGCUCCAACACAAGGAAGAAGAUGGAGAUCAACUUCCUUCUAGCCUUCUUCUUCACCAAUCUCUCAUCCUUUCCACCUUGAAGAGAGAGAGAAUGAGAGAGCUUAGAGAGAGAGAGAGGUCUCUUUUUAGGUUGCAAGUAGUGAGGGAGAGAGGCAAAUGAGCUCUCUAUACCUCAUAUACACUACCUACUUGGCAGUUUUGCAAAUAAACCCCUCAACUUGCAAAACAAUGCACUGCCCGUAUUGGGCAUCUCGCAGCUACGGGGAUCGGUCCUUGGCUUGAGGGACCGGACCCUGUAGGUCCAAAAUCCUACACUUUUUGGUACUUAGCCAAAAUUUCAGCAUUUUUUCGUUUUCACUCCGUUUUCGCUCGUUAGGCCUCCGAUUCAUCUCAAAUCGUAUCGAGACCCCCAAUGCAUGUUUUCGAGCGCGUUUAAACCAUCUUUUCAUCCACGCCUUGCGGGAUUUCGGCCAAGAUCCAAUCAUAGCUUUUCGGAUUCCGUUUUCGCGCUCGACGCGUACCGAAAACACCCGAACGCUCCCAAACUUCACCGGAACCAUUCAAAAGGCUCUCCAAACUAACAUACACCGUAACUUCAUAAUUAUAGAAGUUCGGUAUGUUACAUAGGGAUAGAUGAUUUUCCGAGUUGUUGAGAUGUGGCAUGUGAUACUAGUGUGGUAGAGACACUUGUGACAUGAUGAAUGUAGGGAUAGGUGGAUUUCCCGAGUCAUUGUUAUCCCUAGUUGGUAGGGUAUCCUCAGUUGACGAGGAUUGGAUCAUACUCACAUGGUCUGUUAUGCGCUUGGUAGUGGUUGCUCCACAAAAGCAGUGCACUCCGGAGGUGGUCACUUGAGGGGCAGAGGAGUUGUCCCGCAGACAGUCUCGGGUGGGGUAAAUCCGGGGUACGUAGCUUCUUACCUAUGGGAUUUGAAAUGUGAGUAGGACUUAGCCUUUUUGGUUAGCCAGUGAGAUUGGGUGACAUUCUUAUGAGUUAUGGAUGAAUCCCAGUAGAGUAGAUUGGCAUCCCAGUUGGUAUCUCAGUUGAGUGGAUUUAAGACUGAGGUGCAAGUGAGAUGUCCUUCACCUUGAGCCUGCCUUUGCGCGGUAUUCCGCGGAUGAUUGACUCAAGACCGAGUCGGGUGGAUAGUUUUGUAAAGGUGGAUGAAACCUUAUGAGCGGAAUUGUAAUUGACAUGAAUGUAAGAUAGAAGUAACCUUAGAAGUCAAUUGGAUGAGAUGUGGAUAGUAAGUAGAAUUAGUAGAUCUACUUACGUUAUUGCAUAUUGAGUUGCAUGAUUGCAUUGUUGCAUAUUGUGAGACAUAACAUGUAUUUUAAUACUUGCAUAUAUAUAUAUAUAUAUAUAUAUAUAUCUGUUGGAUAUCUGUUGGAUUAACAUGUUGCAAACUUGCAAUGCCUCCUUCAGACCAGGGGGGUCAAGCUCUUCUCUUGGGUGGCCGUACCCACUGGGAACUAUGGACAAUAGUUCUCACCCUACGUGGUUUUGGGAUUUCAGGUUCGCACGCAAGUGGCGCGGCGGCACGAGGAAAGGGCGUAGCUCCGUAGAUAGCGCCCUACCAUAGAGACCAGAGAUAGCAUUACCCCGAGUCGGCCUAGCUAGGGGUUGUAGAAAAGCAUUAUUGUUGUAAUCUUGAUUGUAUUUGGAAGAAAAGAAAAUAAAAAUAUAAUAUGUAAAAAACAUGUGAUGUGAAUGCUUGUAAUAGCUUAGUUGUUUUAUAUUUUUGAUACUUCCUUAUGCAAUCUCUGCUUGAAAUCUGUUCCUGGUUGGAACCUCGCGAAUUGUAUUGAUUUCGACGCUUAGGACGUAUAAGAAAAAUUCUGUCCGUUCGGCGGUCUGUUAGCCGGGCCGAAUCCGAACAAAUAGGCAGAUUUCAGGGUGUGACACCGGGCAUGAGAGAGAGAGAGAGAGAGAGAGAGAGAGAGAGAGUAGAGAGGCCCACCCUAAAAUGAAAAAUUCAAAAAUAAAAUAAAAUUAAAAUAAGGAGAUUGCACCACGUCAGCUUAAAAUAUUGGGGAUUGACAGAUAGUAUUAGAAUUAGAUAUUAAUAUUAGAUAUUAGAUAUUAGAUGUAUGGUUAGUUGGUUUUUCAUAGUUUGCAAUUUCUAAUUAUAUAAUUUUUUAUUUUGUUUUCUAUAGAUAUUUGUUCUUAAAUAAGACGCAAUGUAUUAUACCAUCCUAUGAUCUCACUUUACUACUCUAUUGUUGGUAAAAUGAAUUAGUUUAAUAUCCUAUUUUAACAUAUUUUUGUAAAAAUGAAAACAAAGAUUAUAAAUAAUAAAGCAUUUCAUAUGAAAGGCUUUUUUAUUAAGCAUCUAAAAAUAUGCAUUGUUUGGUAAAAAUAUAUAGAACUUAUCUGAACUAAUUAAAAAAAUAUUUUUACCACGCAAAUUUUUAAUUGAUUUAAUUUAGGCCAUCUAAUUGUUCUUCAGAUUUAAAAUUCGGAUACAUUAUUUAUUUUUAUGGGACUUAAUUAGCAUAUUUCAUAUAAUUUUAUGUAACUAUAAGUUUAAAAAAAUAAGCAAUGAGUAUAAAUUAUGUCCAAACUAUUAAGUAACUUAAAUUAAAUAAAUUAUGUCCAAACUAUUAAGUAACUUAAAUUAAAUAAAUUGAAUGGCUGAGUUGUAGAAAUAAGAUGUUGACAAGUUGGGUAGUUGGAUCAAAACGAGAUUUGAUUUAAGUUGUACUACAUUUAAUUAGCAGGUCUAUGGUAGACCUGGUCUACGCACUGUACCCGUCGAAAAGGAUAAUCUUUUCCUGUUCGCAAUAAAAGUGCUAUCCAGUUGUUGUACAAAAGAAAGAUUAAUCCAAGAAAACAAAAUUCCCCCAAUUCAGCUCUCCCUCCCGCUCUCCGACGAUUCGCAUCUUCCCCCGGCCGCGAGUUAGGGUUAGGGUUAGGGUCGCAUCUUCCCCUGGCCGCGAGUUAGGGUUAGGGUUUUGAAACGUUCUCUUUCGUCUCUACCCGGGGCACCACUGUGCACUCCAUUGCCGGGUAGCGUAGCGAUGGAAGCGGAGAAUAGCAGCAGCGCCGGAGGCGGAGGCGGAGGCGGGGCGGCGCCUCAGCCGCCGGUGGUGCCGCCGUUCCUGACGAAGUGCUACGACAUGGUGGACGACCCGGCGACGGACGCGACGGUGUCGUGGAGCGAGGGCAACAACAGCUUCGUCAUCUGGGACCCCCACGCCUUCGCCCGCGACCUCCUCCCCAAGUACUUCAAGCACAACAACAUCUCCAGCUUCGUCCGCCAGCUGAAUACCUACGUCAGAUUCCGUCUUUUCCCUUUACUGCUCCUUCUUGCUUAUGGAAUGUGGAUGGAUGCUUUUUGCUGCUCUGAACUUGAAUAUAGGGGUGUUAAGCCGCAGUAGUUGGCGUGUUGGUGCGGGCGAUAGCAGUUGUGAAUUUCUUUCUUUCUGAUUGGUCUACUAGUCCUUCCUGUGGACAACAGAGUAGGAGAAGUUUUAAAUCCUGAGUCACAGAAUUAUCCUUGGAUGUCUCUACAGUCGAUUUGGAUAGAAAUCUUGCGAGAGAGUGUUCUUUACAAAGAAAGCAGUGGACUUUGGACUCUCUUAUAUAUCUCUGUUCACGGUGCUGCUUUUUUGUUGUGUUUUUUGGUCCUCCCGAUCUAAGAAAUCUAAGGACUAGUUACUUGUCAAUUGGUCUACAGUUAUUGCACUGAACCAUAAUAGUUGUAGAUUAAAUCUGACGUUAUACAUCCAGGCAGGAGUUCAAGCUAAAUUCUUCUUUGCUUGGCUGGCCAUCUCCAUGAGAUAUGUUGCUUCUCACUCGAUACUUGUUUCUCUGUGACUUGAUGGCUCAACUUCUUGGAGCAGCAUCUUGUCAAUAUUUUGGAUGUCUUAUCCUUCAUUUUGUCUUAUCCUUCAUUUUGUCUUUCCAACUUAUGACUGGACUAACAUCAGCUUCUCCUUUUGAAUUCCCUCCCCACACCACCCCCACCCACCCAGUGGCAUGCUGGAUUGCAAUAAUUAAAUAAUAUUGGUUGGAGAUUAAUCUAAAAGAGGGUGAGAUAUUGUCCAGUGUUUGAAAAGGCGCCAGGCGCGGAGAGGCAUAAGACUCUCUUGGAGCCUAGGCGCGAGGCGCACGCCUUAAGAAGGCGAGGCACACAUUUACUAAGUCUAGUUUAAUUUGAUGUUCUGCAUUAAAAAAUUCCAAAAUAACCAUCGAAAAGUAAAGAAAAUGCAUGUAUAUAGUUUAAUUUGAUGUUCUUGUUGACUUUUCGCUGUUGUUGCUUCUUGUUUUCCUGUUGCCACUGUUGCUGGUUGCUUGUUCUGGCCACCACUGGUUUAUUGCCGCUGCUUUCUGCUGCUAGCAUAGUUGCUGUUGGAUGCUCGACAGGGAGAGGAUGUGGGAGGACAAGAGACGAAGAGGAGGGCAUGAGCGGCUGAUUUUUUUUAGGAAUUUUUUUGGAUUUCUUUCAAGAUUUUUUAAUUAUCUUAUCAGGUUUAAAGUAUAAGAUGCAAAUUCAAAACCCGAAAAUCCGAAAACUUGAAUUUUUUUGGAUUUUUUUAAUAUUUUAUAAGUAUCUUAUCGGAUUAAAGUAUAAUACGCAAAUUCAAAACCUGACAACUCGAAAACUUGAAUAAAAAAUUCCUGAAAGUUUACAUAUUGCGAGGCACACGCCUCAGCAAUAGCGCAAUAGCGCUGUGCCUCGCUAUUGCUGAGGCGCUAAGGCCCGCGCCUCGAGCCUAGGCCUCAAGUGUGCCUUUUCAAACAGUGAUAUUGUCCCUGUAUUGGAUUGGGUUAUUCUUAAGAUAUAGACUGCAGAUGUAUUGGUAUGGAAGAAAAUUUGUGAUGACGUAACAAUUAAAAAGAAUUAAUCAUGAACAGCCAAAGGUAGUUAUUAUUUGCGGUCAUCCACUACUCGCAAUUUGUUACUUUCUAUUGUUCCAGCCUAUGCAACUACAAGAAAUGUUAUUUUAUAUGGGACUCCAGGGAUUUAAACUUUAAAUUAACAAAAUGUGAUAUAAAUAAACAUUUGAUGCCUCAUAUAAGAUCCUUAAGUAAAAUUCAUAUAAACUAUGAGUUGCCACAGGAUUAAAACCUUUUGGUGGAGAAUGCAUGAAUUAAACAAUAUUUAGGCAGCUAAAUCUUGAUUACCAUCAAUUACACCUUUUUUUUUUUAAUUUAGAUAGAUUUUGGAUGUGCUUGAAGUACCACCAUAUAUACAUUGAUGAUCUUUGUCACAUUCUUUAUGUUAACAUUCUUCUUCAGCUUAGUUCAAGAUUGCAUACUCAAAAUAACCUCUUUGAUGCUUUAGAGCUCCCAAAAAACCCCUAGAGCUAUUUGGAAUUCUGCUUCUAUGCUAGUGCAGGAACCUCCACUGGAGAAGUAGUCAACAAAAUGCUUUGUGGUGGAUGUUCCCAGCAUCAUUUCAUAGCAUCGGAUCUGAAGGUCUUUUAGGAAUUUUUGUGGCUCUAGAGCAUUGAAACAGUUGUGUUUAGAGUUACUUUCCCAAACUAGGCCUUGAAAGGAUGCUAUGGAAGUUGUAUCUAAUAGAAAUGAUGAGACAUAUAUGUCAUGAUAUUCACUUUACUCCAUAAAGAUACUUAUAGAACUGAUUUAGAGGAGUUGUGGGUGUUGAAAUUUUUGUUAUUUUGUUCCUACAAGGCUUAUCACAUUUCUUCUUAAUCAUGCUUUUUAAAUGAUCGGGCACGAUUAGCACUGAUUAUAUUUUGGUGCCGUUUCUUAUAGGGAAGGUACUAACUAUACAUUUGACAUUAUGAGAUUGUCUAAACUGCAAUGUCUUUUCACUUGGUUACUCAGUCGUGUCAGACUUGUGGUAAAAAACUUUUACCCAUUUUAGUCACCAUGUCAUGGCAUGCUAUUUUAGUCACUGUUAAUCAAUACAUGAUGUCAUGGCAUUCUUUACUUGGAUAGGACAGAUUAUUCCAUUCUAUGCCAUUUUGGAUAUCAAAAUACUGAUUACGUGAAUUAGCACCGAUGGCAAUAAGGGUAAUUUGAGCAUCCUCUUGUCACCAUAUGGAUUGAAAAUAUCACCCGUUAGUUCAUUUGGCUUGUUGCAGGUGUCCAAGUUUCAUCUGAUAUCUAUUUUGUUGCUAUCUUUAUGUUUUAGGCUUGAGAUCCUGGCAGUGUUUAGGUUUUGGUGUAGAAUCCAGAGUUUCGUCUAUCGAAGUUUGGUGGCUUUUCGGUAGUUUUAUCGUUCAGUUUUUUAUGUCUGUAAAGGUUUCUAAUUCAAAUACAAUAUAAAUACAAGAUAAUUAAAAGAAUCGUACAAAGCUUAAUUUCUCAACAUUUUCACAUAUUGAAGUGGUGUCUUAUUCUAUUUUGACGGGAAAAAAAAAAAGUUGCUGACUCUUAUUCUCCAGUCUAUUUACAAAAAUCAAAUUAUGAUACUCCAGUCUAUUUACGGAAUCAAAUUAUGAUGAGAGAAAUGGUAUUAAAAGGUCCAUAUAUGAAUCAAAGUUCACAUUAUAGCUUCUUUCCUGUCAAUUUGAAAAAACUUCUAGGGCUGAAUCCUUUUUAGAUCUAUUCUAAGUGAAAUCAGAGUGUUACUGGUUUAGAAUUGGGUGUAGACCUUGUGUUUGAUCAGUUUGUCCAACGAGAGUUUGUGUUUCAAAGUUUUAGAAGAAAUUUAAACCAUGCUGAUGUUAAGUUAUUUCCUCCCAUGUUGGCCACUGGAACAGCUCAUAACUUAUCACCCUCUUUGUUCUUAUCAGGGGUUCCAUAAAGUCGAUCAUGAUAGGUAUGAGUUUGCCAAUGAGGGAUUCCUAAGGGACCAAAAGCAUUUACUAAAAACAAUUGUGAGGAGAAAACCCUCUCAUAAUGCCGCUCAGCAUCCACCUUCACAAGCAAAGAAUACAUCUGUUAAUGCGUGCAUUGAAGUUGGAAAAUUCGGACUCGAGGAGGAAAUUGAACGACUUAAGAGGGACAAAACUGUCCUCAUGCAGGAGCUAGUAAAGCUUCGGCUGCAUCAACAAAGCACUGACCAUGAAUUACAAAGUUUGAGACAGCGUCUUCAGGGAAUGGAACAGAACCAGCAGCAGAUGAUGUCGUUCUUGGCUAUGGCCGUUCAGAGUCCAGCUUUUCUGGCCAAGCUGGUACAGAAGAGUGGGAACAGCAACAGGUGGAAAACAGAGGCGAAUAAGAAAAGAAGGCUUCCUGCAUUGGAACAGGGCAAUAAUAUAACUUAUCCAGAAUCUUCUUCUUCCGACGGACAAAUUAUCAGAUACCAGCCCCUAGUGACUGAAUCAUUUAAUUCAUCCAUGCCACCAUCAGUGCCUAAUUCUCAUAUCUCAGAGCAAUUGCAAAACAUGGCAAAUAGUGCGAAUAAUUUAUCGGAAUGUGGGGAUUUUAUUUUGCCAGAUUAUUUGGAACAGCUUUUAGCUAGCCCGCCAUUGGAUAAUGGUGUCGGGCCUGACCCAGAGUCCUUGGGCAUUCUAGAUCUUUCGAUCGAUGAUUUUGACUUCUCGGAGCAGGACAUUCAGAUGGAAGUGGCACAGGACAUGGUUCCUGAUGAAAUUAAUGGAGGGAGUCAGUCGAGACCUGAGAUGGAUCACGUACAUGGGCAGUUAUAGCUGUUUACGUUGUCUUGAUCAUGUAGGAAUCUUGUACAGAUCUUCGUUUCACUUAGAAGAUUAAUCAUAGGUUGCUGGCUGCACUUGCAAGGUUCGUAUUUUUUUAUAUAGCCUUUCAAUUUCUUUAUUAAUUUUUUGAAUGUUAUUAUCAUCAAAUCGAAUCGCACCGCUUGCCAUCCAUGCAUAUUUUCAUUCUUUGGUUUUCCAUCAAAUCCGUUUUGUUGAUGAAAACAUGGCAAGUUGAUAAGAAUAAUAUCGUGGGAUGCUGAGUUCAGAGCAUGAAGAUGCUCCAACUUUUGGUGCUAAUAUGUCUGGAAUACUUUUGACUUGUUAACUAAUAUAGAUGAGGCCUUCUUUUAAUUUGUCUUCUUUUGAUACAUAUGACUUGGGCGCUCCGAAGAUAAAGACUGUAUGUUUUCAUGUUUUUUCCCCCUUUCUUUUUGAAUAGUUCAGUAGAACAUCAAAUAUUGGUAUUUGACUGCCUUUGCAGAUGAAAUAGUUAUUGUUCUUAAUUUCUGAAUGUAAUUUAUUACCCCUUGCUAUCUAACUGCAUAUCAUUUUAGGGACUUUGCAAUUGAGAACCAUAUGGACAAGAUUGUCCUUUGGAAAGUGUGAGGUUAUUGGUUGAAUUUUCGUUAAAUAUCCUGUAAGGCCAACUUAUAUCUAUGCAAUUUUGUGGAAUAGCUCUGGUAAUUUUAUACAUCUAGGUUGCUUUUUGCAUGGCGCUUUGAUUGGAAAUACAUAUGUACAUAGAUUUUCGUUUAGAAUUAGAAUGAGAAGUUUUAUUUUAUUUUUUAUUUAACUAUUAAAAAUUCAAAUGAUCAGUGAGCUAAACAUACUAUUGCUUUUGCAAUAUACAUACUGUUGCUUUGCAUUACUAAUGUUAAGUUCAACAAAGAAAAGUGAUCGAAUUCUGCUUGCUAAUUGACUUACAAACCAACUAAAUCGAAUUAAAAGAAUCGUGUUCCCAGUUUUAUUCAGGUCAUUUACCCGUUGUGCAUCAUCUUCUAAAAAUCGGAAUGUGAUGUUGCGGGCAGUCGACCCACUACAUAGUGCAUAUGUGGUAUGCCCGUGCAUAUAUAGUUUUUAAACAUUAAAAUAUUAAAUAUUUACGUGAAAAUAUAUUAAUAAACCUUUCAAAAGUAGGAAUAAACAAAUGUGUCAUAAAUUGGCUGAACUUUUAUGAAGAAUAAUAAAUUUUUGGGUAAGCUGUCAUUUACCAUCUAGUCAUUCCAACAGGCCAACAUUUAAAAAAAUCUAGCAUGAUAACAUCUAACAACUACAAAAGCACUAACUAAUAUUUAUAUGCAUAAUUAUUAAUAAUGCCACAAAUUCUUAACAUGUAAAAUAAGAAAGUUUAUAUUUAUAUGAAAAUAGUUACAUUUAUAUGCAUAAUAAUUAACAUACAAUAUUUAUAUGAAAAUAGUUACAUUUAUAUGCAUAAUAAUUAACAUACAAUAUUUAUAUGAAAAUAGUUACAUUUAUAUGCAUAAUAAUUAACAAAACUUGUAUGAAGAUAGAUAUUUGUGCAUGUAUAAUCAUCAACAAAUGAUUCCAUCUAACACUGCAUUUCAAUCCCACUUGAAAAGCAAAAAAUCUUUAAAAAAAAUCAAUCCCACCUUAAAUUUAAAAAACUGAAAAAAAAUUGCUGCAUAUGGACCACAUAUGUGGUCUGACUGUGGAUUGCACGGUAUAUAUACAGUGCGCUUGACGGUCCGAAACGCAUAUGCGGCCGCAUAAACCACUUUUUGGAGUCUUGGAUCUGAAUUUCAUUAACCCAUUUGUAGUGCAGCAAUGCUUUCAUAAACUUGAUCAUUGAAAAAUAUCCGACUAAGAGAAGAGAGAGAAUAUCACGGGGAGAAAAAGAAAGAGACCGUAACUCAAUGAUCUAAAGGGUGGUUUGACCACAAGACUGAGACUUGAUGGUGGUGGUUGGUCAAAAGUUGAUCAAAUGUUCAUGCGGUUGCUUGCAGCUUUGACAUAGUUUUGUUUUGCAAUUAUAAACAGAACUAUUAUAAUAACAAAAUAAAAAGUUGAAACCUGUAUAUAAAUUUUAAAAAAGGUAGAGACAAUAUAUUAGUUAAGGGAAUUUUGUACAAACAAAAUCAGUAGUUAGGUUCUGUAUCUUUUCUUACAGAAAUGGACCAGUACCUUUCAGAAGUAAAAAGAAAUUGCUUCAACCAUUUAUAUUAGCUAAUUUAAUAGUUCUAGCUUAGAAAAAGUACAUCCACUACUCAUACAUAGACCAAACAAGGGCACAAAUUGGCAUCACUACUCGAUUUCCUUUGGUACAUUUUCUUUCUGAAAACAACAAAUUAAAGGUUGCAAGCGAAUUCUGUAGAAGGCUAAAAGCUGUUUUUUUUUCCUUUCUUUUUUUUUUUUUUUUUCCCUUUCAGUGACUUAUCACUGUUCUGAUAUGCCAACAUUGGAAUAAAUUGAACAUCAGGAAAAAUAACUCAAUCAUGUUUCCAGUUUAAUGUAUCUUUUCUUGUUAGUAAUUUAAUGCUUUAAUGUCCUUUAUUCUGCCCACUUCUCUAUGCGGUGAAAUUAGUUGCUAUUUGUUUUGGUUUUGAUUUAUUAUGGCGGAAAAAUGAAAGUAAUGCAAAAUACUAUUCCAACCCUCUUUCUUUGCUUCUUUGAUCAAUUAGAAACGUAUCCUGAAUACAAAAUAUUUUUGAUGCAAACCGAGAGGUUGCCAAAAUUGAAUUUUCAAGUUUGCUCUUGUUUAAAGGUAUUUCUUGAAAUAAGCUAGAUUCAAUUUAUCGAUUCCGGCGAACUUUACUAUAAUUAAAACAAGGAAGCAAAAAUUUCAGCAAGACGAAAAAUUAAAUCGAAUUGAAGCAAAACUAAGAUAAUGAUAAACCUUCGAUAUAUGAGAUAAUAACAACCAACUG
rnacentral:lncRNA from 1 species